CCCGCCGCCCCCGCCGCCCCCGGCAGGCGCAGGUGCAGGUGCAGGUGCAGGCGCAGGUGCAGUUCGGGGAGUGUAAGCUGGUGCCGUCGAGCGCUGGCAUCGCCGAAGAGCUUCCACUGGCGAGCGCGGAGCACGUCGUGUCCUGGACGAGCCGCGUCCUCCACGAGGCCUUCCAGCCUCCUGCGUGACACCGCAGCUCCUGCCGCAGAAAACGGCCGAACCGUCCCCGUAAGCCGGGGACGACCUUGCAGGGUCCAUCUGUGUCGUUGCAACGGCGACAUUUCAUUCUUUCUGAUGG